GUUUGUCCUCUCUUCAAAACUAUCUGGAUUACAUAGGCAAAUUUCUAAACUGAACUACUUAGCCUUUCUGCUUGUUAAUACCAUCUACUUAUUCUUUGUAAAAUCUGCAAUAGCACUGUGGAUGGGAUUUUGUUGUAGGCUAGAUGUGAAUUCUUUCUUCUAUCAAGAGAAACAGCCUGAUGUGAAGCUUGCUGGCUUUUGUUUGGACUGGAAGGCUGAUGAACAGACUUUUUAGAAAGAAAGAGGAGAGGUGGGAAACACAUGUGUGUGUCCAUGAAGACAAAGAACAGAGACUACUUAAAAAGGGAAAUGCCCUGAUGCACUAGAGGAAGAAGAAAUGAACCUGCAGACUUUAUUCCUCACUGCAAGAUGACCCAUCUUAGGAAGGCAGAUUUGGUAAAACUGCUCAUCGGACAAUCAGAAUUUGCAGUUCCCAUCUGCUACAAGCUGGGCCUUGGGCUGGAGAAGUAGCUGCAGGCUGCUGCUCUCCAAAGGAGCUCAGAAAUUAGGGUCUGUCUGCAUCACAGUACCAGGAGUUCAUUUAUCUCUUUUUGGAAAUGACAGUGUCCUAAAUGAACAUAGUGGAGAGCAUGGGCAGGCCAAUGAACACACCUUAAAACAAGUGGCUUUCCUCAGAUGAAUGAAGGGACACACUGUUUGCAAGCCUUCUAGUGCUGAGAGGAAGCUUUUAACCUAUGACUUAUAAUCAUGUGCUGUAGUGUCAACCUCAGGAAACAUGAAAUGCAAUACUUAUGCCUCAGUUAUAAAUAGAUGCGUUUGGCUACUUUCUGGAAAAGUGCCUUACUUCCUCGGAGUGGAGGAGCUGGUUCAGUCUUGAGUUUGUCUUUGGUGAGUGUGGGCAACUGGGCCAGUGGCACUGCUCCCACAAAUUGCCUAGCAGGAACCAUGCAUGUGCUGGGACACAUCAUUUCUGCCCUUGAAAGGAGAUAGGGAGAGACCUGCCCAGGGUUCCCUGAAUCUCUGAGGAAGAAACCAGGCUGCUUGUGCA